rnacentral:rRNA from 1 species
GACGAACGCUGGCGGCGUGCCUAAUACAUGCAAGUAGAACGCUGAAGGAGGAGCUUGCUUCUCUGGAUGAGUUGCGAACGGGUGAGUAACGCGUAGGUAACCUGCCUGGUAGCGGGGGAUAACUAUUGGAAACGAUAGCUAAUACCGCAUAAGAGUAGAUGUUGCAUGACAUUUGCUUAAAAGGUGCAAUUGCAUCACUACCAGAUGGACCUGCGUUGUAUUGGCUAGUUGGUGGGGUAACGGCUCACCAAGGCGACGAUACAUAGCCGACCUGAGAGGGGGAUCGGCCAGACUGGGACGGAGACACGGCCCAGACUCCUACGGGAGGCAGCAGUAGGGAAUCUUCGGCAAUGGACGGAAGUCUGACCGAGCAACGCCGCGUGAGUGAAGAAGGUUUUCGGAUCGUAAAGCUCUGUUGUAAGAGAAGAACGAGUGUGAGAGUGGAAAGUUCACACUGUGACGGUAUCUUACCAGAAAGGGACGGCUAACUACGUG